rnacentral:tRNA from 1 species
GGCUAUGUGGCUCACUGAGCAUGGCGCUUGCAACGCCAGUAUGGUGGGUUUGAUUCCCGCUGGAGACA